UAGGGAAUCUUCCGCAAUGGAUGCAAGUCUGACGGAGCAACGCCGCGCGAGUGAAGAAGGAUUUCGGUUCGUAAAACUCUGUUGUUAGAGAAGAACAGCGCAUAGAGUAACUGUUAUGCGUGUGACGGUAUCUACCCAGAAAGCCACGGCUAACUACGUGCCAGCAGCCGCGGUAAUACGUAGGUGGCAAGCGUUGUCCGGAUUUAUUGGGCGUAAAGCGAGCGCAGGCGGUCAAUUAAGUCUGAUGUGAAAGCCCGCGGCUCAACCGGGGAGGGUCAUUGGAAACUGGUUAACUUGGGUGCAGAAGAGGAGAGGGGAAUUCCAUGUGUAGCGGUGACAUGCGUAGACAUAUGAAGGAACACCAGUGGGGAAGGCGACUCUCUGGUCUGUAAAUGACGCAGAGGCUCGAAAGCGUGGGUAGCAAACAGG
rnacentral:rRNA from 1 species